ACGCUCGACACCUACGGGAGCAGCAGUGAGGAAUAUUGGUCAAUGGGCGCUAGCCUGAACCAGCCAAGUAGCGUGAAGGAUGAAGGCUCUAUGGGUCGUAAACUUCUUUUAUAUAAGAGUAAAGUGCAGUAUGUAUACUGUUUUGUAUGUAUUAUAUGAAUAAGGAUCGGCUAACUCCGUGCCAGCACGCCGGACGGUAAUCUGGAGGCCGGGCGUGGACGAAGGC
rnacentral:rRNA from 1 species